CACAGGGAAAACACUGACAAAAACACACUUUUAACUUUGGACUCAAGUUCCUGAUCAGUCUGCAAUUAGAAUCUACUUUAGAAUCAAGACAGUACUUCAUAAAUAGUGUUUUGAAAAAAUACAGAUGUAUUCUUCUUGCAGUUCUUUAUCAUGGUAGAGAAAAAAGUACACUUGGAUUCAUCAGUUGCUGCUGACUUUAAGAUAAUUUGUGAGCCUUCCUCAACGCAAAGGUCAUGCAAAGGGACAUUCAAAAUUAAUAUAUUCAGGAGUGGUUCUGAAGGACAAUAAGCAUUGUGGCUGGAACAGCACUGUGAAAGACCCAUAUCUUCUACCAUUGAAAAUCAGACCAGACAACAUACCCCAAAAAUACUUUUUAAGAAGGCAUGAAGUACUUGGAAUGAUGGAAAAACUUCAGAGACAGCCACUCUAACUUGCAUGAACCAUUGUAGACUUAUUCCAAACUGUGGACACUGGAAUAAUGACAUAUAAGAUGUGAGGAGACACUUUUGAAGUAGCACUGUUAGGUAACUUUGUGGCUUCUCAAGUGGCCAUCGGCUAGGAACUGAUGCUGUUUUAGACAACACUAGUAUUAACUGCGUUUAUCAUUAGCUGUUAUUCUACAACAAUGGGUCAAAAAGCCAUUGGCACGAAGCUC